AGCGAACGCUGGCGGCAGGCUUAACACAUGCAAGUCGAGCGGGCCCUUCGGGGUCAGCGGCGGACGGGCGAGUAACGCGUGGGAACGUGCCUUCUGGUCUGGAAUAACCCUGGGAAACUAGGGCUAAUACCGGAUACGCCCUUUUGGGGAAAGUUUUACUGCCGGAAGAUCGGCCCGCGUCUGAUUAGCUAGUUGGUGGGGUAACGGCCUACCAAGGCGACGAUCAGUAGCUGGUCUGAGAGGAUGAUCAGCCACACUGGGACUGAGACACGGCCCAGACUCCUACGGGAAGCAGCAGUGGGGAAUAUUGGACAAUGGGCGCAAGCCUGAUCCAGCCAUGCCGCGUGAGUGAUGAAGGCCUUAGGGUUGUAAAGCUCUUUUAUCCGGGACGAUAAUGACGGUACCGGAGGAAUAAGCCCCGGCUAACUUCGUG
rnacentral:rRNA from 1 species